rnacentral:rRNA from 1 species
GUCCUAGCCGUAAACGUUGGGCACUAGGUGUGGGAGGUAUCGACCCCUUCCGUGCCGCAGCUAACGCAUUAAGUGCCCCGCCUGGGGAGUACGGCCGCAAGGUUGAAACUCAAAGGAAUUGACGGGGGCCCGCACAAGCGGUGGAGCAUGUGGUUCAAUUCGACGCAACGCGAAGAACCUUACCAGGGCUUGACAUCCUCGGAAUCCCGCCGAAAAGGCGGGAGUGCCCGCAAGGGGAGCCGAGAGACAGGUGGUGCAUGGCUGUCGU